ACUCCAGCCUCUUCCCCCCUCCAUCUGGCAGGAGGGACCGAGAGAGAUAGAGAGGGGACCAGAGUGCCAGAGUGCGCGUGUAUCCACAGGGUUUAGAAUCGGAGGCAAAGGCAGCAUCCCUCCCUCAGUCAGUCCCUCAGUCCUGUCGUCACGGCGACAGGAGGUGUCUGUUCCACGGCCGAGAGACGGAAUACGAGGCGGAAUCGGCAGCUAGUGGUCGCCGCAGCAACAAGAGCAUCCGAGGACUUCCAGGAGUCCAUGCAGGAGCAGAGAAGCCAAGGCUGCCGGGGGCUCGAAAAGAGGGGACCCGGGGUAAAUCUUUCAUCCACCACCUCCUCCUCCUCCGCUGCUGCUUCACUUUCUCUCUGAAGGACGGCUCUGAAUGAACCCUCCUUCUUACGGUGGGCGAGUGUGGCUGGAUGGACACUGAAGGGAAAGACAUAAUAGAGUGGGAUUGUGUGUGGGAACGGGAGAGAGAGAAGUAGGGGUGAUUGGGAGGAAGACGGUGUGUGUGAGAGAGAUGGUGACUGACGCCGCAACAAAACGGGAAGAAUGAUCUGAGCUCAGCCGAGCAGAAAACUGUAUUCCCGUUGUUCCUCAGGAGGGAGGAAAGGCAAACCUGCACGCACUUUCUACUACUGACCAGGGGAGAGGUGAGAGCGAGAAAGAGUGCCAGAGACCCCUGUUUUAUGGUGUAUUUCCACGGGGGCUGAUUCAAUUUGUUCUUCCUGGAGCAAAAGACAUGGAAUUUACCUUCUCUGAUGGCUUUUGAAGAACGCCACGCUAUUCUAAAAGGGUAACAACUGGAUUUAACCCAACAUCAAAGGGAACUAGAUUGAGAUUCAUCUCUGUCUCUAUUUCCAUUUAAUGAAAUGGGGGAGAAAUGUCUCUCUGACCUGGAGAAAACGAUGCGCCAUUCCGUCUGAAACCCCGUGGGGGAUUACGUGUGAAACGUUCAUCAUAACACUUAUUAUUCCGUUCAAGGAAACGCAAAGUUGGAAUAUUUCACCUUUUGGUUUGACUUUUUUUACUCCGAACACAAGACAAAAAGACAAAACGUUGCAGAUUUGAAACAAAGAAGCACUUCAGUCUACUCUGACAGGAAGGCAUCUUUGGGAGUUUCCUUUUUUGUCCUGGAUUGGAUUUUACAAGAGUUAGCAGUGGAUCAGUCGCUUAUACAACCCUGCUAGCCAUGUCUUCAUGGAAGAGAAGAAUUCUGCAUCAUAGACAACUGCUUUCCAUCCAAAGUUACCCCUAAGGACUCACACAUGCACACUAAACACAUGCUAGGGUGAAAUGAGCCACGCUUCUUGCACAUUUUGCUUCUUCAUCCUGGAGUUUGGUGUGUAUUCUUGGAUCUAACAGCCUAACCGUCCUUCAAUGUUUCCAGCACCUUCCUUUCCAUCCGCGUCUGUCCCGAGAUGCCCCGACGUACACAGCAAGAGGAGGCUUGACCCCAGACCCAGCGAGGUCUCUCGGCUGCCCAGGCAUAUUUAAGAUGUUGAACCCUUCCCGCGUGGCCCGAGCCCCAGAUCGGAUCAGUAGCACUGCGGCUCCCGGAGGCCCCAGAGAUGGAUCGUGGCUCGGCUCGCCCCUGCCCUCAGCGCUCCGCACCCCGGCCCGUGAGCAGCCUGUGAAGGAUGUCCCAGAGCGGAACUCCAGCCCGGGAACCCUCUGAGACCCCCAGUCAGAGAGAACAGGUCCGCAGCCACAUGAAGAUGGUGAUCAAGCAGCUGGAAGGAAUCCUCAAGGAGCUGAAAGAUGUGGCACAUGAACUGCGGGAGGUAAGAAUCGGGAAUCCUUUGGUUGCCUUUUACCUUUGAGGGAAAUUAAUAGGUUCUGUUUGGACUUUAGAUGACUGGUUUCUCCAGCAGGAGAUAAAUAAUGAAUGUUUUCCAGUUUGGACUGGCAGGUUGAAGC